ACGCAGGAAGCCGAAAAUGCGAUUUCAGAGUAGGCA
rfam:Epilithonimonas sp. FH1 contig06, whole genome shotgun sequence.